GACGAACGCUGGCGGCGUGCUUAACACAUGCAAGUCGAACGGAAAGGCCCUGCUUUUGUGGGGUGCUCGAGUGGCGAACGGGUGAGUAACACGUGAGUAACCUGCCCUUGACUUUGGGAUAACUUCAGGAGACUGGGGCUAAUACCGGAUAGGAGCUCCUGCUGCAUGGUGGGGGUUGGAAAGUUUCGGCGGUUGGGGAUGGACUCGCGGCUUAUCAGCUUGUUGGUGGGGUAGUGGCUUACCAAGGCUUUGACGGGUAGCCGGCCUGAGAGGGUGACCGGCCACAUUGGGACUGAGAUGCGGCCCAGACUCCUACGGGAGGCAGCAGUGGGGAAUAUUGCACAAUGGGCGGAAGCCUGAUGCAGCAACGCCGCGUGCGGGAUGACGGCCUUCGGGUUGUAAACCGCUUUCGCCUGUGACGAAGCGUGAGUGACGGUAAUGGGUAAAGAAGCACCGGCUAACUACGUG
rnacentral:rRNA from 1 species